rnacentral:lncRNA from 1 species
AGAUGUGCGUCAGGCGUUCGGUGGAUCGAGUCCGGUAGCGGUGGCGGGUAUCUGCUGGCGGUUUGGCUAGGUUUCUGCGGUCGCGUCAUUUUCUCCGCAGUGCCCAGGUAACGGUCCUUUCAUCCUUUUCUCUGCUUGGAGGCCUUAAUAAAGGCGACUUCUGCAGCGGGUCCCCGGAGUUUGCCGGAGGAGACGCGAGUGGGCGCGCGGCCGGGCUGGGAACGGUCCUCCGCGCGCGCUGCGGCGGCUCCGCGAGUAACCAGUCUCUGGACCAUCGCCUCGGCGGGGUCCUGAAACCCAGUACCAAGGGUGAGCGUCUCCGAGGGGCUGGCACCGGACAGCCCCGCGCACCGCACGUCUCAGCCGCUUCCCCCGGUGGGAGAGUUUUACCCAGGCCUGCAGCCGCCCGUUUUGUCCCCAGUAAGAAUAAUUCUGUUAGGAAGCGGUUCUCGAGACUCAGCAUCUCGCCAGAAGCCUGAGAGUCAAGCUAAUCGAGAUUAACAUAAAAACGCAUGCUGCUUUAUUUACACACUGUCGGUCUUUAGCCUCAAGUUAAGGUGGUUUUCCAAAACUCCGGGUAGGCUUCUCUGGAAAAAGAUGCCGGACCGGUUAGGCAGACGCUUGAAGACUGUGCGGAAUCGGUUUCCCAAAUACUCAGUUUGAUGGCUCAGUUUCCAAAAGAUGAAAACCCAGAAAACAGCCUAAAAAUAAGUUUGUGCAGCGAUUAUUGCGAUUUUAAGAUUGCAGACGAGAAAAGGUGGUUUAUAUCGUCUGCAGGUGUGAAAUGACUUCUGCGAAGCGUACAACAAAUUCCCCAGUCUAUAUAAUCAAGCGUUCAGUAAACUUCGUUUGCAGAAAGAGAUCUGGAUAAAUAACUGGUUAUACUUUGGACAUGAAAUCCAACUUUUUUUUUUUUCCUCAACCAAAGCAGUGAUUGAAAUUGAAUUUUCAGUCUUCAAUUUUCUCAGAUUUAUCUGCUCUUUGACACAGGAGAUACUCAAACUGCACCUUAAAAUCCUUAACUGUUUCCAUUGCCUGUGUAAUGACAUCUUACAUUCUGAAUUAUGCAACCCCACCUACAGCUGCUUUGUCAUCUUUUGUAGUGACUUUACAUACUGAGCCUGUCACACACUGCAUGCUCUUCCAAGGCUUUGUCCCCCCCUUUCCCUUCUGUGAUUUGUGCUGCACCUAGAGUGCUGAUUUGUGUUGUUUUGUUCCUUUUGCUCCUUUUGCUAGACCUGUGUUACAUUGCCCCUGCUUUGUGCGAGUUCCGGCCUCUCAGAAGGUACUUGACUUUAGUUAUGUCUUUCUUAACUUUUUAAAAGAUUUACAUAUGUGAAUGUUUUGCUUAUCUGUCUAUAUGUGCACCACAUGCUUGUCCGGGCCCAUGGAAGACAAAAGAGAGCAUUGGACUCCCCAGGACUGGAUUUACAGCUAGUUGUGAGUAGCCAUGUGGGUGCUAAGAUAAUCAAACCCAGUCCCUCUGAAGAGCAACAGUGCUCUUAAUCGCAGAACAGCUCUCUAGCCCCUUGACUUUAGUUUGUAUUCUCUCUUCCAUAGCAUCC